rnacentral:rRNA from 1 species
UGGCCGUAAACGAUGUGGACUUGGUGUUGGAAUGGCUCAGAGCUGCUCCAGUGCCGAAGGGAAGCUGUUAAGUCCACCGCCUGGGAAGUACGGUCGCAAGACUGAACUUAAAGGAAUUGGCGGGGGAGCACCACAACGCGUGGAGCCUGCGGUUUAAUUGGAUUCAACGCCGGAAAUCUCACCGGAUAGGACAGACAUAUGAUAGUCGGGCUGAAGACUCUACUUGAUGAUCUGAGAGGAGGUGCAUGGCGUCAGUGACU